AGUGAUGAAGGCCUUAGGGUCGUAAAGCUCUUUCACCAGGGAUGAUAAUGACAGUACCUGGAAAAGAAACCCCGGCUAACUCCGUGCCAGCAGCCGCGGUAAUACGGAGGGGGUUAGCGUUGUUCGGAAUUACUGGGCGUAAAGCGUACGUAGGCGGACUAGUAAGUUAGGGGUGAAAUCCCGGGGCUCAACCCCGGAACUGCCUUUAAUACUGCUAGUCUUGAGUUCGAGAGAGGUGAGUGGAAUUCCGAGUGUAGAGGUGAAAUUCGUAGAUAUUCGGAGGAACACCAGUGGCGAAGGCGGCUCACUGGCUCGAUACUGACGCUGAGGUACGAAAGUGUGGGGAGCAAACAGGAUUAGAUACCCUGGUAGUCCACACCGUAAACGAUGAAUGCCAGUCGUCGGGUAGCAUGCUAUUCGGUGACACACCUAACGGAUUAAGCAUUCCGCCUGGGGAGUACGGUCGCAAGAUUAAAACUCAAAGGAAUUGACGGAG
rnacentral:rRNA from 1 species